rnacentral:rRNA from 1 species
CAGUCGCCGCGGUAAUACGUAGGGUGCGAGCGUUAAUCGGAAUUACUGGGCGUAAAGCGUGCGCAGGCGGUUCGUUAAGACAGAUGUGAAAUCCCCGGGCUUAACCUGGGAAUGGCAAUGGAUACUGGCGAGCUAGAGUGUGUCAGAGGAUGGUGGAAUUCCCGGUGUAGCGGUGAAAUGCGUAGAGAUCGGGAGGAACAUCAGUGGCGAAGGCGGCCAUCUGGGACAACACUGACGCUGAGGCACGAAAGCGUGGGGAGCAAACAGGAUUAGAUACCCCGGUAGUCCCUGUCUCUUAUAA